GACGAACGCUGGCGGCGUGCUUAACACAUGCAAGUCGAACGGAAAGGCCCCUUUGGGGGUACUCGAGUGGCGAACGGGUGAGUAACACGUGAGUAACCUGCCCUUGACUUCGGGAUAACUUCAGGAAACUGGGGCUAAUACCGGAUAGGAAUCCUUGCGGCAUGGGGGGGGUUGGAAAGCUUCGGCGGUUUUGGAUGGACUCGCGGCUUAUCAGCUUGUUGGUGGGGUAGUGGCUUACCAAGGCUUUGACGGGUAGCCGGCCUGAGAGGGCGACCGGCCACAUUGGGACUGAGAUACGGCCCAGACUCCUACGGGAGGCAGCAGUGGGGAAUAUUGCACAAUGGGCGGAAGCCUGAUGCAGCAACGCCGCGUGCGGGAUGACGGCCUUCGGGUUGUAAACCGCUUUCAGCAGGGGCGAAGCUUGUGGUGACGGUACCUGCAGAAGAAGCACCGGCUAACUACGUG
rnacentral:rRNA from 1 species